GGAGUGAUGGCUCAGUGGUUAAGAGCACCCGCUGCUCUUCCAGAGGACCUGGGUUCCAUUCCCAGUGUCCCCA
rnacentral:tRNA from 1 species